UACGUAGGUGACAAGCGUUUGCCGGAUUUUACUGGGCGUAAAGAGCGCGCAGGCGGUCGAUCAAGUCGAGUGUGAAAGCCCCCCGGGCUCAACUGGGGAGGGUCAUUCGAUACUGAUCGACUCGAAGGCAGGAGAGGGUAGUGGAAUUCCCGGUGUAGUGGUGAAAUGCGUAGAUAUCGGGAGGAACACCAGUGGCGAAGGCGACUACCUGGCCUGUUCUUGACGCUGAGGCGCGAAAGCUAGGGGAGCAAACGGGGAUUAAGAUA
rnacentral:rRNA from 1 species